GUGUAUAUAGCUCAGUGGUAGAGUGUGUGCUUAGCAUGCAUGAGGUCCUGGGUUCAACCUCCAGUACCUCCA
rnacentral:tRNA from 1 species